GUAAGAUGUUAACUUAAGUUUAAAGUGUUAGAUUUUUAAUCUGGAAAUGGGUUUUCACAUCUUGA
rnacentral:tRNA from 1 species